rnacentral:rRNA from 1 species
AUGGUGACGUCAUCGACGGAGGCGUCGUCGCCGCCGUUCGCCGGCAGCGUGGAGACGCCGGCAUCUGCUCAUCUUGUCCGGCCGUUGGGUGCAUUCCCUCCUGAUUACUAAUAUAAACUUGGCUAUUUUGUUACACCAUUUAGUGAUUGUUUUGUUAAUGCUAAUGUGUGCGAUGCAGCAAAUGGAGAAAGGGUGGACAGUCCAUUUUUUACACUGGAACUUGAGCAUGGUGGAAUUUUCUGUGGCCCAAUCACAAACCUGGAGUACUGGAACCCUUCUGUUGAGGUGCUAGACUUUGUUGACUCUGGCACUUUCUCUUAUGCAUUCCUUGAACAACACUUGGUUUGGUUGGGAUAUCCUGUGAGUGAGCACAUCAUUUACUUCAGCAAACCAAAUAAACCAAUCUCAGAUGGUUUGAUCAGAAUUAGCAGUGAUGAUGAUGUGCAACAUAUUAUCAGAGCUAGUGCUGAGCAUAAGAUGCUUGCAGUCAUGGUUGACCAUACAGAUUUCAUCAGCAACUUCAGGAGAUGGCAGCUCUCUGGAGUACCAUGUGGCCAUAGUAUAGGAUGCUGCAGGGAGGAGAGAAUUGACCCAGUGACAAUGGUUCAUGACUACUAUAGUGUGGAGAAUUAUCUGAAAGCAUAUGGAUACACUCUGGUUCCACUUAAAGAUCCAAAGCAUUGGGAGAAACAGAAUGGAGACAAAGUAUAUCCACCAGUUUUCACUAAACAGUUGGGAAGGCCAAAGAAAAACAGGAAGAAAACACCAGAAGAGAAGAGAAGCAGGAAUGGUGUUAGAUAUUUGAACAAAAAAGGUGUGACAAUGCACUGCUCAAUUUGUGGCAGAGCUGACCACAACAGGAAAGGGCACUACAGGUGGCAGGAAGCACUAGUUGCAGAAGGAGUAGAGCUUGUUGAUGAUAACUAUGAUGAUCCAACAUUUCUUCAGAACAUCUUUCCAAACAGGCCAGAUCCUAGGUUGGAUCCUACUGAGUCACCAACUAGUAUGGUUUUUAACAUGGCCAGCAGGGAAAGAGCAAGAAGACCUUCUCAAAGGGUCCAUGGCCCACUGCCUGAGCUCUCUUCAUUUGUUGCUGCUGCUGGGGCUGAAAUACCACAACCCAGGGUGACUACAGAAAUGAAUAUUGCUAGGCAGACCAGGGCAAGAACUACAGCUGACAUUGCAAGAGGAAAGAAAAGGAGAGGCAGAGGAGAGUCCACCCACGUCGCAGCUCGCUCCUCGGUCUCCCCGCCACCCCGCUCCACCAAGAAAACCCUCGCCGCCGAGCUCCACGCCGCCGCCGCCACCAUGGACAACACCCCCGCAUGGCAGAGGGCCAUCGAGGAUCUGGCCGGCGACGACGACGCGCUCCGCACGGACCUGAAGGAGAUUGCGCGGUGGUUCCCCUCCGGCGAGAUGCUCCUCCACCACGUGCGUGGCCUCGUAAAGGUCAUGACUGACGACGAGAAGCGUCGCGCCAUGCCCGCACCCGGCGUAGCUCCGGUCCUGGUCUUGCGCUUCGCGAUGGCCGAGACGCGGUCCGACGAUCCGAGAAUGCAGCGCGUCGACGACUUCGUCCUCGCCCUCCCCGCGCCGGUCAACACCGCCUACUGGGACCGCUUCAAGCCCGACAUUCUAGUCCACGACGACGUCUCCGACGUCCAACCCUCCUUCGACGAUGAAUCCUACUCUGACGACUCCGACUCUGACUCUGGCUACAAGCCGGAUAGCGAGUCUUCAGGCGAGGAGGAGAUAGAGGUGGUGGUGCUAUCUGACAACGAGCCGGACGACGUCGUCAUGCUGCCUCCCGUCGUCGCCGGCAACGAGGGCGACAGAGACCUCCCCAUUGACGUGGACCUGCUGCCAGAGGUGCCUGACAUUGUCAAGAAGGAGGUGCUGGAGGAGGUGGUGGACGGGCAAGCACGGGAUGGCUCGAAGAAGAGGAAGAAGCCGACGAAGAUUCAAGUUGCAGGGGAGGUGCGCCGCUCCCAGCGUCUGAAGGAGCUCAAGAACUGA